rnacentral:lncRNA from 1 species
GCGGAACCAGGUAAAAGAAAAUCAAUCAUGGCUGCUCCGAUUGAGUCGGUUCAAUGUUUCGGCCGGAAAAAGACGGCGGUUGCAGUCACCUACUGCAAGCGCGGUAGAGGUUUGAUUAAGAUCAAUGGAUGCCCAAUCGAACUCGUGGAGCCAGAGAUCCUCCGUUUCAAGGCUUAUGAGCCUAUCCUCCUCCUUGGACGUCACAGGUUCUCUGGUGUCGACAUGCGUAUCAGAGUAAAGGGUGGAGGUCACACCUCGCAGAUUUACGCCAUCCGUCAGAGUAUCGCCAAAGC